CAAUUGUCUACGAAAAUUUCGAGUAAAAUGUAUUUCUUUGAAAAUUAUUUUUUCCAUUUAAACGAUAAAAUAUUAUGUAAACCUGAACAACAUUUUCAUUUUUUUUUUUUUUUUUCAAACUUGGAGGUUCUACAACACGAUAUCGUUUGUACGCGCGCGGUCUGGUUAUUUUUUACCCUCCGUCUUCUCACAGUUAUUUAAUGUAUUCCGCCCAUUCCCCCUAAAUUCCCUCCGUAUCCUUGUUAGCGGUGUAAUUACGACCGGGUCCCGAAGACUUUUGGGCCGUUUUGGGGACAAGAAAAUAGAAUACGACUCAUACUGUUAUACUCCGCUCAUAAUCUUUGUUUUUCGUUUGCAACAGUUAAUUAUCAUCGCACACAGUAUAUUUAAACUAGAUCGCCUGAGCAUCAUAAAGCGACACAGUGGUUUUUCGUUUGCAACGUCUUUGGAAACGCUCAACGAUUCCCCCGGUUUUCGUUCAAUCGUUUUUGUAUUUUUUCGAAAAGCUGGUGGGUAAUGACCCGG